rnacentral:rRNA from 1 species
AAUGAACGCUGGCGGCGUGCCUAAUACAUGCAAGUCGAACGAAGUGGCGCACGGGUGAGUAAUAUAUAGUUAAUCUGCCCUACACAGAGGCACCACAGUUGGAAACGACUGCUAAUACCUCAUAGUGUAGGAUGAGACUAUAUCGUAUCAGCUAGUUGGUAAGGUAAUGGCUUACAAAUGCUAUGACGCGUAACUGGUCUGAGAGGAUGAUCAGGCACAUUGGAACUGAGACACGGUUCAAACUCCUACGGGAGGCAGCAGUAAGGUAUAUUGCGCACUGGGGGAGACACAGACGCAGCAAAGCCGCGUGGAGGAUGAUACUUUUCGGAGCGUAAACUGCUUUUAUCAGGAAAGCGUUACCUAAUGAAUAAGCACCGGAUAACUCCGUGCCAGCAGCCGCGGUAAUUC